GUAUAGAACCUACCUUUUACUGGAGAAUAGCCCAGAGAAAUUUGGAUUAAUGCUCCAUAGUAUCAUUUUUUGGCAUCCUUAGAUGAUUAAAGAUUUAUCGGUAAAAGAUGGCUAUGCGUUCUAUUAGCUAGUUGGUAUGGUAACGGCAUACCAAGGCGACGAUAGAUAGGGGUCCUGAGAGGGAGAUCCCCCACACUGGUACUGAGACACGGACCAGACUCCUACGGGAGGCAGCAGUGAGGAAUAUUGGACAAUGGAGGCAACUCUGAUCCAGCCAUGCCGCGUGUAGGAAGACUGCCCUAUGGGUUGUAAACUACUUUUAUAGAGGAAGAAACCGCUCUACGUGUAGAGCUCUGACGGUACUCUACGAAUAAGGAUCGGCUAACUCCGUGCCAGCAGCCGCGGUAAUACGGAGGAUCCAAGCGUUAUCCGGAAUCAUUGGGUUUAAAGGGUCCGUAGCGGGUUUGUAAGUCAGUGGUGAAAGUUUUCGGCUCAACCGGAAAAUUGCCAUUGAUACUGCAAGUCUUGAAUCGUUGUGAAGUGGUUAGAAUGUGUAGUGUAGCGGUGAAAUGCAUAGAUAUUACACAGAAUACCGAUUGCGAAGCAGAUCACUAACAAUGUAUUGACGCUAAGGGACGAAAGCGUGGGUAGCGAACAGGAU
rnacentral:rRNA from 1 species